rnacentral:rRNA from 1 species
CCAGACUCCUACGGGAGGCAGCAGUGGGGAAUAUUGCACAAUGGGGGAAACCCUGAUGCAGCGACGCCGCGUGAGUGAAGAAGUAUUUCGGUAUGUAAAGCUCUAUCAGCAGGGAAGAAAUAGCGACCUUUGGGUCGCCAGACGGUACCUGAUUAAGAAGCCCCGGCUAACUACGUACCAGCAGCCGCGGUAAUACGUAGGGGGCAAGCGUUAUCCGGAUUUACUGGGUGUAAAGGGAGCGUAGACGGCAGCGCAAGUCUGAAGUGAAAUGCCGGGGCUUAACCCCGGAACUGCUUUGGAAACUGUGCAGCUAGAGUGCAGGAGAGGUAAGUGGAAUUCCUUGUGUAGCGGUGAAAUGCGUAGAUAUAAGGAAGAACACCAGUGGCGAAGGCGGAUUACUGGACGAUAACUGACGGUGAGGCGCGAAAGCGUAGGGAGCAAACAGGAUUAGAUACCCUAGUA